rnacentral:rRNA from 1 species
UACCAGUUGUCGUGCCAACGGCAUAGCUGGGUAGCUAUGUGUGGACGGGAUAAGUGCUGAAAGCAUCUAAGCAUGAAGCCCCCCUCAAGAUGAGAUUUCCCAACUUCGGUUAUAAGAUCCCUCAAAGAUGAUGAGGUUAAUAGGUUCGAGGUGGAAGCAUGGUGACAUGUGGAGCUGACGAAUACUAAUCGAUCGAAGACUUAAUCAAAA